AUCAAUAAGCGGAGGAAAAGAAAAUAACAAUGAUACCCUUAGUAGCGGCGAGCGAAGUGGGUAAAGCUCAAGUUUAAAACCUGUUUGUCCUAGACAAACCGGAUUGUAAACUAAGGACGUGCUAUCCAGGCUCUUUGGACCUUCAAGUCCUUUGGAAUAAGGCUUCACAGAGGGUGACAAUCCCGUAGAGGGUCUUGAAAGAGUGUAUUGCGAUGCAUGCUCCAAGAGACAGGUUGUUUGGGAAUGCAGCCUAAAGUGGGAGGUAAAUCCCUCGUAAAGGUAAAUAUUGGCGAGAGACCGAUAGCAAACAAGUACCGUGAGGGAAAGUUGAAAAGGACUUUGAAAAGAGAGACAAAAGUACGUGAAAUUGCUUAAAGGGAAGCGUUUGGAGCUAGUUUGGCUAGUCUGAUAACAGCCUGAGCUUCGGCUUUGGUGUACUAUCAGGCUAUUUGCCGGCCAACUUUCAGGAUUGGAAGGAAAGCUUAGUGCUUUGGAGUCUAAAGAGACCUUUGCGGAAGCCUCUGGUGGAGCGUUGGUCUGCCUUGGCCCUUCUGAACCUAUAGU
rnacentral:rRNA from 1 species